rnacentral:antisense_RNA from 19 species
AUCUGUUUUAGGACCUCUUCACCUUUUGCGCCGGUUUGUUUUAUAAAUUCGGCGUAGUAAGGUUUCAUAGCGUCUUUAAACGGUGUUAAAUCAGGAUGCGUAACGGUGACACCUUGU